rnacentral:pre_miRNA from 1 species
AUCACCUUGGGACCUUGUUAAAAUGUAGAUUCUGAUCCAGUCUGUCUGGGGUGAGGUCUGAGAUUCUACAUUUCUAACGAGGUCCCAGGUAAUGCCUU